AAAAUGUUUAAAGUCAAGUUUAAGUGAGUACAAUAGUUUUUUUUUACUUAUAUUUAAUAUUUAAUAGUUAUAUACACUUAUAUUUGAUUUCUUGCAUAGGUUGAUUGCUUUUAUUGUAAUUUUAAUUUUUAUGUAGCUUCUUCUGCUACAACAAGAAAGAUGUUGUACUCACAUAUAAUUGAUUCAAUACAUUUGAUUAAUUGUUUUUAUUUAUUUAUUUUUUUUAAUAGAUUUUUUUAAGUAGUAUCUUCCCUUUAAAUAAUUAUUUUUAUUCAUGCUACAUUAAAUAUGUCGCAUGUUCUAAAACCAAGUCAUUUGCAUAACAUUUGUCUAUACACAUGCAUAAACAAGGUAUGUCAUUUAAUGAAAAUUUCACAAAUCUUAAAUUUGUAAAUGUUCUUAAAUUAUAGUUUUUGACAAGUAUUUUUAUGUGUCAUACGAUGUGGUAAUUUGUGUUUUUUUUAUGUGUUAUAUAAGGUUAUAUGGGUUUAUAUUUUGUUAGUGUUUCUACGUGUGUGCUGUUAGUAGUUAAAUUAUGAACAAUAAACUCUGUAUAAUCCAAUAACCCUUAACUUAAACUAGUUUUAAAAUUUCAUAUGAGCUUUUAUUUAUGGAUUAUACUGCCAAUAACUCUAGCAUUCUCGAACAAGCUAAUUUCUUGGUCCCCUUCAAGGUUUGAGUAAUUUAGAGUUUACUGUAGUAUUUUAUGUUAUUUGUUAAUUUUGUGAUGUUAUUUUUGUGUUGUUUUGAUAGAUUAGAUGACUUAGUUUACUUUCAUGUCGGGGUCUUUAAUUUAAAAUGGUUAUUGGAUAGUUUCAUUACUUAAACUUACUAUAUAUAAUCAUUUGCUAAAUGCUAUAGAUUCAGUUUUCAAAUUUAAAAAAAGUAUAUCUUAUUGUGAUCAUUUAUUUUUAGUUAAUCCCAACUUGCAACAAUAAAUCUUGAAAUUUUUCACAAAAGAUAAACAACCUCACAAACUAAGUUUCUUAUUUGUUAUCUGUUUUACUCACAUUGAUAUAAUAUAUCAAAAGACAUUUGCAAGUACACAGCUUGGCUGGCAAGCCUAACAACCAUACUCUACAAGUUGCUAAGUUGGACCAGUUUUGAAAACAUGGAAACAAUAUAGUAGAAAUAUAUAUACAAAGCUAUAAACACAUAUAACCUUAUAAUAUGUACAAUCUUCCUACAAAAAUCGGACAUAUUAGGUCCUAUUUUUGUGUGUUAACGUUGUGAUGUUAUUUUUGUGAUUUGUGUUGAUAGAUAACUUGGCUUACCUUCCCAUUGGUGACUAUCGAUAAAAAUAAAUAACAAGUACUUUUAUUACAGAGACUUUUUCCUUUAAAUCAUUCACUAAAAGCCAAGAUUUUGCUAUAAAUUCAGUUUAUGUCUUAAUUUAAUUUUAUCUUUAGUAUUUUUAUUGCUUUUGAUCUUUGAAGCAGAUUUUACAGUUAUCUUUUCAAUAAAUAGAAUUUACUUCAAUAUCACAAAGGGUUACCAUAAAUAAAAAACAGAUUAUAUAAUCGAAUGACGUAUUUCAAAGAUAAAGGUGUACAAAAUUUACAAUUGUUGUAUUUUGAUAAUUUAAACCUGUCUACUUAUAUGAAACCAUUUCAUUAUUUUUUGAUCGUAGAGGUUUUUUUGGUAGUAUUGGUCCCUACUUGCACGUCGAAUAUAACGUCAUAAAACUAAAAAGAAAGAUAAAAAUAGCUAACCAUGAAGACCAUCUUCAGACUUCUUGUAAUGUCUGAAGCAUGUUGUAGA